AAAUUGAAGAGUUUGAUCAUGGCUCAGAUUGAACGCUGGCGGCAGGCCUAACACAUGCAAGUCGAACGGUAACAGGAAACAGCUUGCUGUUUCGCUGACGAGUGGCGGACGGGUGAGUAAUGUCUGGGAAACUGCCUGAUGGAGGGGGAUAACUACUGGAAACGGUAGCUAAUACCGCAUAACGUCGCAAGACCAAAGAGGGGGACCUUCGGGCCUCUUGCCAUCGGAUGUGCCCAGAUGGGAUUAGCUUGUUGGUGGGGUAACGGCUCACCAAGGCGACGAUCCCUAGCUGGUCUGAGAGGAUGACCAGCCACACUGGAACUGAGACACGGUCCAGACUCCUACGGGAGGCAGCAGUGGGGAAUAUUGCACAAUGGGCGCAAGCCUGAUGCAGCCAUGCCGCGUGUAUGAAGAAGGCCUUCGGGUUGUAAAGUACUUUCAGCGGGGAGGAAGGGAGUAAAGUUAAU
rnacentral:rRNA from 1 species